rnacentral:lncRNA from 1 species
AGAAGCUCACGUGUCUUUGACCCCCUCACGACUUGACGAACCUUCCAAAACCCAACUCCUUACAAGCCCUAAUCUUUCUCUCUCCAAAAAUUAUAAGCUCGCUCGAUCACCCGCUGAUCAUACAAUUCCAGAAAAUUGGCUGAAUUUGAGUGCAAUCCGAUUAUCUGACUAUCUAAAUCGGGUUAGUAUUACUCUCUUAACUUCAUUUGUUCUUUCUGUUUCAGUGCAAAGUUCGUUUUCGUGAUUUAGCUUGUUCUGAAUCGGAAUUUAACCGAAGAGUGUUAUGUAGAACUUGAUUUUUAACCGGAAAGUUGAUGAAGUUUGCCUCUUG